GUGGCGAACGGGUGAGUAACACGUGAGCAAUCUGCCCUUGACUCUGGGAUAACUGCGGGAAACUGUAGCUAAUACCGGAUACGACCGUGGAAGGCAUCUUCUGUGGUGGAAAGAAUUUUGGUCAAGGAUGAGCUCGCGGCCUAUCAGCUAGUUGGUGAGGUAAUGGCUCACCAAGGCGACGACGGGUAGCCGGCCUGAGAGGGUGACCGGCCACACUGGGACUGAGACACGGCCCAGACUCCUACGGGAGGCAGCAGUGGGGAAUAUUGCACAAUGGGCGCAAGCCUGAUGCAGCAACGCCGCGUGAGGGACGAAGGCCUUCGGGUUGUAAACCUCUUUUAGUAGGGAAGAAGUGACUGGGUUUUCCUGGAAGUGACGGUACCUGCAGAAAAAGCACCGGCUAACUACGUGCCAGCAGCCGCGGUAAUACGUAGGGUGCAAGCGUUGUCCGGAAUUAUUGGGCGUAAAGAGCUCGUAGGCGGUUUGUUGCGUCUGCUGUGAAAACCCGAGGCUCAACCUCGGGCCUGCAGUGGGUACGGGCAGACUAGAGUGCGGUAGGGGAGAUUGGAAUUCCUGGUGUAGCGGUGGAAU
rnacentral:rRNA from 1 species